rnacentral:rRNA from 1 species
UACAGAGGUCCCAAGCGUUGUUCGGAUUCACUGGGCGUAAAGGGUGCGUAGGCGGUCGGGUAAGUCUGGCGUGAAAUCUCCAAGCCUAACUUGGAAACUGCGUUGGAUACUAUCCGGCUCGAGGAAUGGAGGGGAGACUGGAAUACUUGGUGUAGCGGUGAAAUGCGCAGAUAUCAGGAGGAACACCGGUGGCGAAGGCGGGUCUCUGGGCCGUAACUGACGCUGAGGAGCGAAAGCGUGGGGAGCGAACAGG